AUGAUUUACUUCUCUAGCCAGCUCUGCUUCUGUGAUUUCAGAGUAUAUGUUGUUAUAAGUUUGUCAUCUUCAACGUUUGGUGCCCAUAUGGAGUUCAAUAGAAGAUUAACACUGGUAAUUAGAGGUGACUUUGACCACCAUUAUAUGUUGCUGUUACAGAAGAAGACCAUGGCUACCGGAGGACUAUAUGAACAAGGCUCGCCAGGUCCUGCAUCAUCAACUAACAGCCAACUCCAAACGAUUACUCAGGUUAACUCUCCUUCUAUAACUAACCCAUUUUACAAUUGCUCUCCUUUCCUAGGUAAAGAUAGUAUAAUCAGCUUGGUUAACAAAUAG
rnacentral:rRNA from 1 species